CCUAAAUAGCAGCAAAAGUGUUUUGUAAUACAAUAUGAACACAAUAAGUACAUUGUACUUAUUUGUUGAUGUAAGUAUACAGUAGUUAAGGCCACCACAACACAA